rnacentral:rRNA from 1 species
GGUCAGCAUCAAUUUUGGUCGGUGGAUAAAGGCUUAGAGAAUGUGGCAUCUUCGGGUGUGUUAUAGCUCUGGGUCGCAUACAUCGGCUGGGAUUGAGGAACUCAGCACGCCGCAAGGCCGGGGACUUGUCCCACGUACGUGCUUAGGAUGCUGGCAUAAUGGCUUUAAUCGA